rnacentral:rRNA from 1 species
AGCGGCGGAUGGGUGAGUAACACGUGGGGAACCUGCCCCUAAGUCUGGGAUACCAUUUGGAAACAGGUGCUAAUACCGGAUAAUAAAGCAGAUCGCAUGAUCAGCUUUUGAAAGGCGGCGUAAGCUGUCGCUAAGGGAUGGCCCCGCGUGCAUUAGCUAGUUGGUAAGGUAACGGCUUACCAAGGCGACGAUGCAUAGCCGAGUUGAGAGACUGAUCGGCCACAUUGGGACUGAGACACGGCCCAAACUCCUACGGGAGGCAGCAGUAGGGAAUCUUCCACAAUGGACGCAAGUCUGAUGGAGCAACGCCGCGUGAGUGAAGAAGGUUUUCGGAUCGUAAAGCUCUGUUGUUGGUGAAGAAGGAUAGAGGUAGUAACUGGCCUUUAUUUGACGGUAAUCAACCAGAAAGUCACGGCUAACUACGUGCCAGCAGCCGCGGUAAUACGUAGGUGGCAAGCGUUGUCCGGAUUUAUUGGGCGUAAAGCGAGCGCAGGCGGAAAAAUAAGUCUAAUGUGAAAGCCCUCGGCUUAACCGAGGAACUGCAUCGGAAACUGUUUUUCUUGAGUGCAGAAGAGGAGAGUGGAACUCCAUGUGUAGCGGUGGAAUGCGUAGAUAUAUGGAAGAACACCAGUGGCGAAGGCGGCUCUCUGGUCUGCAACUGACGCUGAGGCUCGAAAGCAUGGGUAGCGAACAGGAUUAGAUACCCUGGUAGUCCAUGCCGUAAACGAUGAGUGCUAAGUGU